GACAGAGGGUGCAAACGUUGUUCGGAAUUACUGGGCGUAAAGCGUGUGUAGGCGGCCAUAUAAGUCGGAUGUGAAAGCCCUGGGCUCAAACCCCAGGAAGUGCACUCGAUACUGUAUGGCUUGAGUACUGGAGAGGUUGGUGGAAUUCUCGGUGUAGAGGUGAAAUUCGUAGAUAUCGAGAGGAACACCGGUGGCGAAGGCGGCCAACUGGACAGAUACUGACGCUGAGACACGAAAAGCGUGGGGGAGCAAAACAGG
rnacentral:rRNA from 1 species